rnacentral:rRNA from 1 species
UACGGAGGGGACUAGCGUUGUUCGGAAUUACUGGGCGUAAAGCGCACGUAGGCGGAUUUGUAAGUCAGGGGUGAAAUCCCGGGGCUCAACCUCGGAACUGCCUUUGAUACUGCAAAUCUCGAGUCCGGAAGAGGUGAGUGGAAUUCCUAGUGUAGAGGUGAAAUUCGUAGAUAUUAGGAAGAACACCAGUGGCGAAGGCGGCUCACUGGUCCGGUACUGACGCUGAGGUGCGAAAGCGUGGGGAGCAAAC